rnacentral:rRNA from 1 species
CAGAGGGGCAAGCGUUGUUCGGAAUUACUGGGCGUAAAGGGCGCGUAGGCGGCCUGCUAAGUCGAACGUGAAAUCCCCGGGCUCAACCCGGGAACUGCGUCCGAUACUGGUUGGCUUGAAUUCGGGAGAGGGAUGUGGAAUUCCAGGUGUAGCGGUGAAAUGCGUAGAUAUCUGGAGGAACACCGGUGGCGAAGGCGGCAUCCUGGACCGAUAUUGACGCUGAUGCGCGAAAGCCAGGGGAGCAAACGGGAUUAGAUACCCCGGUAGUCCUGGCCCUAAACGAUGAAUGCUUGGUGUGGCGGGUAUCGAUCCCUGCCGUGCCGAAGCUAACGCAUUAAGCAUUCCGCCUGGGGAGUACGGUCGCAAGGCUG